ensembl:lncRNA
GUGGACUAAAUUUGAACAAAAUUCCCAGGCUGUAGGUACUCAACAAACACUGGACACCCUCAGAAUGUCUGAUCAACGACUGAAAGGUGGCUCACAGGGUCUCCAGGGCAGCCCUCUAGGUGGUGGUCCUGAGGGUCCCGUGAAAGGAAGAGCUCUGAAGCUGCCUGGGCCAGUGAGAGGCCACCACACCCGAGUCCCUACACGCUCUGGCGUUCCGGCCCUCGGAGUGGGCGGGAAGGAGGGCGUGACCGCCUUUUCAAGGCUGGGGCCAUCCAUGCCUAAUACCUGUGACGACAGGACUCCCGACAAGGGACGGGUACGGCGUGUGUCGGGCGAUAUCCGGGAGUUCCUAUGUGAAGGAGAAGACCUAGAAGGAGCGCCUGAGUAGCGACCUUGGGGAUGCUGCGGGAAGACUCGGCGGACCGAGCGGUUAGCCCCCCAACCCCGCGCCCCGCAGAGAGACCGAGGCGAAGGGAGCGAGCGCGCGUGCGCACUGGCGCGCGCCCCGUAGGAAAAAGCCCAGCGCGCGGUUCCGCGCGCGCGCGCGUUCGAAAGGGCGGGGGAGUCUCCCCCGCGGGUGCCCGCGGCAUUUAGGCCGGUGUUGGCCGGCGAGCGCGCGUGCGCGAGCGCGGAAAGACACCCUCCUCAGCCGCUCCCCUCCAUUGGGGGUCUAGCGCACAGCUCCGCUGUCCCCGCCUCUCCCGAGGCUCGCGCCCUCGGGGUAAGUACCUCGCGCCUGGCGGAGAGCGGGGUGAGUCCGCCGGAGGAAGGUUGGAGGCGGACAGGUCUGGGAGAAAGGGAAAAACCGCCCUCGCGGAGCGAAGAGCUCGGCUACCGGGCAGGAGUCUGCAGAAGGCACGCCUCCAUCCCUCACGCCCCUCGGGGCUGCGGAAGUACUCUGGAGACUGGAGCGGCACGGAGGCGACAGGUGGACUACCCUUCCCAGAAGGCAGCGCGGGGCUGCGCCUACUGCUCCCGGCAAUACCUGCGCGCCAGGCCUUCCCCCUCUCCCCCCCCCCCCCCCUUUGGUGCCCCCCAGGGGGCAACNGGCUUCGCGCAAAGCGGCUUGGAAGUGGGCAGCCUGGAAGUCACUCGGGCCACCCGAGCUGGCGGCGUCUCUAGCGAACGGCGCGGGGCCGGACGCCGCGGUCGUGGGGCCCGCAGGGCGGGCAGCAGGGACGCCCAGCUGCACAGUCUUUGACAUCAGCUCUCCUGGGACCCUCAAGGAGCACUAGUGUCCGGAACAUACGGAGCGCAGACUGCAGGACAGAGAGACAGCAGUCCAGCCUCUACCUACAGGACUCACAGGGGGCAGAGGAACGUGUUUAAUGACAUCACAAGGGAAAAGGCAGCCAGAUCCUGAAAGUGGAAAACUCCAUGGGAUGAGUGACCUCAUUCCUUCCACAAGUGAACAGCAUCACAAUAAAGGUGAUGGGCGUAAGGGAGACAUUAUAGAAGAGACUUAAGAAAUGUAUCUGCCAAAGUAGAGUAGGGAUCUUGUUUGGAUCCUGAUUUGAACAAACCAACUCUAAAAGACACCUUUGAGACAAUGGGGGAAAUGUAAUGCAGAUAUGGGUAUUACAUAA